CUUUUAUUGGAUGUUAACUGUCACAUGUCACACUUUUAUUGAACGUGGACGUUAAUUAGGUGCACGAAAUUAACGUCUAAUAAAAAGGCAACAUGUGGUGGUCAACGUCCAAUAAAAAUGUGACACGUGACAGUCAACGUUG
rfam:Glycine soja cultivar W05 scaffold167_25, whole genome shotgun sequence.